AAAGGGGUUGCUGACUAGUCCAAAGGAAAGUGCGUUUGUCUACUUCGUGAAAUUCUCAGAUCACUGGUGAAACAUGAUGGCUUCAAGCUGACCACAGAUAACGCCCUGGAACAACGCUCUGUCACUCACUGAAACAGAAGGGGAACACGCUUUAUGGAAGGCACUGACAAGGAAAGAGUUUUGACCCGAAUGUUAGCUCAAUAACACAAGGAUGCCAGGAAGAGUCAUGGCAGGUGCUUUAAUCAAGGUAUCGAUUGGGAAAUUCAAAGAGAAGAAGAAAUACCCAGACUACAAAAUACACUUACUUCCACUUGGCAGGAGAAGAUAAAUAUGAAUUUACAGCAAUCCAUCUUUGUCUGAAUGCUAGAAUAAUAAUAUUGAUAUUUGCUUUCUGUGGGAUAAUGUAAAGCCAGCGAAGCGGACCUUGAUCAUGGACUGAGCGGCGGAUGCCAUAGGUGACCAGAGGUAUGUCUCCUUCCAUGAACCAAAGUACCUACCUCGUGACCAUGGUGAUUCUUGUAUACAGCUAAUAGUAUAUAAUAUUGAUAUUAUUUGGCGGAUCAUAUCGGUUUCACCAAGUUAUUUCCUUUGACGUCAAUUAUUUACGGUGUAUAAGCUGAAAUGCUAAUAUAUCACAAAAAUAGAAUCAAUAAUCUUAUGAGCCUGUUAUUUCGACUUCACUUUCUUGACAAGGUUGUUUCACAGGAAAUAGUUGUUAACAAGCUUGUUUGACCGUUAUAAUUUUGAGAUAAUGUAUAAUCCCUUUGAAAUUCUUGUCCAUGAAAAGGCAUUGAAAACGUAGUAAUUCAUGGGGAUGGGUGUUUUCAAGACAUAUUUGGCGUAUAAUUCAAAUUAUUUUCACUCAAGCGGUAGAAUGUGUCUGCGGUGCAUUGUGUACAUCAAGCAACAGCUCCAUAAAUAGAAUUACCAUUAUCAUUUAGAAACUUUACUUAAAGAUGUACAUGCUGGAUUGACGAUAAUUCCUGUAUCCUAAAAACCUGA